rnacentral:lncRNA from 1 species
AAGGAUCUUCAACUUGUGCUUCUUGACCUGCAAAUUAGCUAGAGAUUUUUCGUAACUAGUUUCUCAUCUGAUACUUGCUUUACUCACUCUCAGAACCAUUGUCUCCCAUUAAACAGCCAGUCCAGAAAAUGCUAAAUAAUAAAAAGAAAAAAUACAGUACAAAGAAUCAACAAAUAUACUAAAACCAAAAAGCCGAGCUGAACCUAACCGGGAAGCUAAGUCUGUUGUCCAAAUGAACAUGUCAGGUACCUCAGAACAAACUAUGAAGGAUUUAGGGGUAGCCUUUGUCAUGGCUCCUCACCACUAGCAGAGAUAACGAAGUGGUGACUUUUGUGGGAAAUGACAUAGAGCAGAGACAAGUCGCUGAAAGAAUAUACUAUGUGAAUAUUUCCUGUGAAGAUGAUAAGAAUGUCAAAUUACUUUAGCAGUGGUCUUAAUAGUAAUUAUUAGGAAUAAUAAACAUGGAAAGUAUGCUGUUUUAUCCAGUUAUUGACAUUAUGCGGAAAUAUACUUGGAUUCUUUUUUCAUAAUUCUGUAGACCAAGGAUGUAUUUUUAAAGCCAGAGAGGAUGAAGGCAUUUUUAUCUAUAGCUUCUUAAGCUACUGAUUUUUGAGGGGUUAAUCACCUCUGAAAUCAGUCAAAGCAGUUAAAUAGCCCCUGUGGAUGUUGACUCAAGUUGUGCCAGUGCUGAGCCAAAGAGUUAUAUUUGUUUUAACAUAAUUAUGUUAAUAUAUAUCCAUAUGUUUACAUGUAUAAUAUAUUUCAAUAUUCUGCCUUUAUUCUGGCAAAAGGUAUGUAAGCAAAUGAGUGAUCUGAGACACUGAAAGAGACUUCUUGAAGUCUUUUCUUGAAGUGAAGUGAAAAUGUGUAAAUAGCAAGUGUUUUGGGAAAAUGGUAACACUUAAGGAUGGAAACAUCUUUCUUUACACUCCAGGUUGGAUUUUUGUGCCAUGUAACUUCAGCAGUAUCAAGACUAAGCUCUGAGACAUUCCAUGGGAUAAGGAAAUACAGGGGUUCUUUCCUAGGAAAGCUUAAUUUUUACGUUUUACUGAAUAUUGCAAAAUAUUUUAUUUUAUUUUUCAUGGACAUUAUUUCCACUACAUAAAUGAUGCAUAUAGCAUGGAAAGGGGAUUCUGAGGUCCCUUGGAUCUACUUUGUGCUCUCUAGAAAUAGAUUGACUUGAAGCCACUAUCUUUCUUUAUUUUUAUUGUAGUUAUUUGAUAUGACUUGCUUAAUUCUCCUAGUGUUAAAAGUCUCAGGUUAUUUCGUGUGUGCGUGUGUGUGUUCCAUGCAUAUGUUCCAUUAUCUUGCAGCCUCUGAGGGUACUUAUAUCCGAAACUUAAAAUAAUUGGAAAAUCCUGUAUCUCUUAGAGACCAGGGCUGUAUUAUCUGAACUCUCUCAAUGAUAGGGAGCACGUUUGUUAGUACGGCCUAUGCAUGUUAUUCAGUUUAUAAACUUAAUUCAUUUAUACCUGAAUAGAUUGAUGAUUCCCCUGGAAACACACUAAUGGUGUUGAUAGCACCUGAGCGAGUCUUUUUUUUUUUUUUUUUUCCUCCUUCAAUUGGUGGAGAUCAUGAUCUAAGUGAGGCUUUCAUUUGCUAUCAGGCAGGGUAGGAAAUAAUUAAUGAAGCUCCCCCUGUACUGAAAUCUAUCAAGAGGUGAAAGAAACUCUAGGGAAUAUGGUAGGAUUUAUAUUUAUUUGCUUGUUUGCUGUCCUAGUUGGUGUCUCAUUGGCAGUACUAUGGAUUUUAGUUUUAGGAUGGUUUACCUAAUAGUAACAUGACUUUUGAUAAGAAAAUAGAGACUAUAAGUUCCGCACUAUCUUAUUAGCUUGAAGAGUAUCUUUAACUAUUUUAGGAAAUUAAUAUGAGAUUUGGAGAUUGUGGUCUAUAUUUAGAGCCAUUUAUUUGGAGGGAGAUUUAUCUCAUAAAUAAUGAUUCAUUUAUUCAAGUUUCUUGAGAGGAUCAUGGAAUCUGUUUUUCUUUGCUUUUUCCUGACUUUUCCACAUUAUAUUUAAAUUGUGAUUUGGUUUAAAUUGGUGGAUAUAAUGUUUGUCUUCUAGCAGACCAAGUGAAAGUCUUGGUUAUGAUUGAUUAGAGGAUGAUAAGAAUGUUCGAUGAUCUUUUUUGCAUCUUUGGCUAUUAAUCAGUCUAGAAGCUGAUUUCAGUAUAUGUGAAAAACGACAUAGGGAAAUACCAUAUACCAUAGUACCAUCUAGAUGACAGAGAAGGAGUCUUAGGAAUAGAUUUUCCUUCGGGUUUUUAGAAGUAUUCUCAAAGUUCUUCACUUUUUUCCUCCAGAACUGAUCCCAUCAAUGAGAAGCUAGUAAAGUGCUUUUUUUUUUUUUUUUCUUGCAGUAGAAACUGGAUAUAAGGAUGAUCAGAACUAAAUGAGGGGCUAAGUGAGUGGAAGGGAGGGUGGCAAGGGGUAAAGUAUUAUAUGCUUAAAGGGAGUCAUGAAUUUGAUGGCAAAAGUAGUUAGCUCAGUUUAAAAACUGCUUUAUUUGCUAGUGCUAACUACUAAUUUGUGUUAACCCAGAAAAUCCAGGAAAAGUGAACUGAUCACUUAGUAUUGGUACCAGACUUGGUAGACAUGUGUAUGUUUAUGUUCCAAUGGUAGGCAUGUGUAUAUAUGUGUUCCAAUACUCUAAUUCCUUUUGCUUUUAGGUUUUGACAGCACUCACAAUCAAAACCAUAAAACUGUUGCUGAGAAUUAGAGCUAUAGGUCUUGUUAGGGGUAGAACUCACCUUUACCUUCAGAGUAAGGGCUUCUUUCACAUCCUUAGAAGAUUGCCACAUGGGCAUUUGUAUGUCACAGGGGAUAGUUCCCUCCUCCUGUCUCACCCCUCAUUCUUUUUUUAUUAUUAAUUUCACUGGAGUAUAUUUUAUUUACAGUGUGUUAAUUUCCGCUGUACAGCAAAGUGAUUCAGCCAUACAUAGACACACAGACAUUCCCAUAUAGGUUAUCACAGAACAACAAGCAGAUUUCCCUGUGCUAGACAGCAAGUUCACCCCCUCAUUCUAAUACAGAGUGUCAAUGUAGUAGUGUAUUAAAAUCAAGACAGAAUUAAGCAACCAGUUGAAGCCAUAGGAGUGAAUGUCACUAACACAGAGCUGAAUGAUGUGUUUAUGUUGGUUAUUGCUGGCGUGCAAUUCUUAGAGGAAUGGAAAAAUCAUAAAAUCUGUGUAGCGACAUAAUUAGAACUCCUUGCUACUGUCAUAUGCUCCUUGCUGAUUUAGCUGCUGCUCAUCCACAGAGAAGAGGUGUUAUUUCACUACUAGAAUCCACAUACUUCACAGGCUGCAAGGCAGUGUGAGAAACAGUGAAGAAAGGGUUAGAUUAGACAGAUAAGGAUGAAGCAACAUACAGUAUUUUAAGGUGUGAAUCUUCUUGUGACACCAGGUUAUAUUUACUCACUCAAGGGACUGAAUUGAAUCUUUGGAUGGGAGAGGCUCUGUUUAGGAAUUACUGAUAUUUUCUUUGUUUGUUUGUCCAUGGUGUCACUGCUGGAGAUCAGUCUAGCAUGGGAUAAAUCCCGCUGUCAUUGCUAAAAUAAGCUGAAAAUGACAAGCUGGGAACUUUUUUUUUUUUUUUCCCGUUUCUGUUAUGAAAAGCUGUAGUUGUGCUAUAAGCUUUGCAAGAGAGAUUAGAAAGUCAUUCAACUUUCUGAAAUUUUACUGUACCCCUGAAAGAAUUUGGAAAGGGAAAUAGAAGAUUCUAAUAUAAGUUCCAGCCAAAUAUAAGCCUGUUCAAAAUAAAGUGUUCUAAGAUUUUGUUUUUAGUUUCUUCUUUCAGCCUUUCCCCUUAGUUAUUAAGCCUGUAGCUUUUUUUUUUUUUUUUCAACUGCAGAGAUAGAUAUUGUAAAAUGCUUGGCACUCCCACUCACCUUUGCUUCAACAAAAACCCAGGUCAGGAAGGCUUCUGCCAUCCUAGAUUUCUCAGGGAGAGCUUUUUUUGUGUGAUCUAGGUAGAUGUCUUCCCAUUUUAUAAAUCAGGUCAUGUCAGUGCAUACCAAGAAAGCUUCUGUGAUCACCUGCAAUGUGGGUCUAUUAUGUGCGGUUAUUAUCCUAGGUUGUUUUCUGCCUAUUACUGAACAGCUGGGAUUUUAAAAACAGCUGGAUGAUGAGUUGUGUCUUUUCCAUUUUUCACCCAGAUGCUUUAUUACUGUGUAGAAACAACCCCAGUGUGGAAUGAGCUGGGAAUAUAGUAGCAAAAAUCUUGCUCUGAUGCAACUGUUGUUGUUAGGAAUGUAAUGAAGAAAAUUAAGGGCAAAUGGUUUUGACUGUUCACUUUACAAAUAUGUUUUUAGAGGCAACAUACUCAUUUCCAUUCCUAGGCAAAGCAGUUGAUUUACCAACUUUGUAAAUGCUUCUUACACUGUUCCUUAGGCUACCAAAGCUAUGCUUUGGCUGUUACAUUUAUUUGCUUAAGGGGAAAUGUCUACACAUGAGGAGACAUCAUCUGAGUUUUCCAUUCGCUUCUAGCAAGGGGAGCUGACAGAGCAGGCAGGCUCCCAUCCUCUCGUCACUCACCAGUCUAUUUUUAGGUUGGUCCCUUUGUGACUGACUUCAACCCUGACCAGAAGGGUUGAAAUUUUAAGAAGAGUCUAUGUUUUAUUAUGACAGUUUGCAGGUUUAUAAAACUGAUAUUUUGAAAGGGACAUAUUUAAUUCAGGCGCUGUUUGUUGGUUCUUCACCCAGGGCUAAAAUUAGAAUUUAAAAAGUGCCCUGACUUCUUUUUCUUCACCAAUUAUUUUUUCAACAGAGGUUUGUUAAGCUCAUGCUAGGUGACUGGGCCAUGCUCCCACAAUCUCUGAAUGUACUAACAUUUCAGAGAAUCAUAGUCCCUGUAGAAGGAUUUUUGAGUUACGGAAAGAUUUAUUCUUCUAAAUAACAAGAUUAUUGUUUACGAUCACUAUUACCUUUUUUUUUUAGCCCCGAGAAUCUACAUGCAUGGCUGGUUUUGGUUUCUCCUUGGAGAGUGAAUUGCCAGGUUAUCAUGCUUUAAUAAUACUUUUUAUAAAUUCUGUCUAGUGUCUAUAAAGUGCUUUCAUUUCUGUGAUAGCUUCUGUAUAAGCUGUAGAGUAAAUGGCUCCGAAUUGUACAUGCAAGUUUUUUUUUUAGGAUUCUUACACAUGUAAUAACAAUAGUUGGUGCUUUCAAACGGUAGAGGUGAUCACUUCUACACAGUGUAUUAUUUUAUUUCCCAGAAUUUAUAUUUUUUUCUAUUUAAUAGCAUGUGUGAUUAAAUUGUAAGGCAGAGAGGAGGGAAGCAAAGAUUUGAUUGAAAAAAUAAACAUCUGUGAAACACUAAACAGUCAUAUUUUUUUAAUUUCAAAGUAGGUUUUUUCCUAGGACCAUGGUUCUUCUGGUUGUCUGUCUCAUAAAACACCCCCCCCACCCCCCAACACACACCUGUGUCUUUCUUUCUCCUUGGGAAUGGUAUGAGUGCCACUGAUGGUGCAUUUUCAAAUUUCGACUUCAGUAAAGACCUGAGUUUCCUCUUUGGAUAAAUGUAAAAAAUAGUGUGCUUCUGUGGACAUAGCUACUUAGACAAACCAAAUGAAACUGCUUCAAAUACAUGGCUAAGUCAGGGCAGUUGAGACCAACUUUCGGAAUUUUUCUGAGGUGCUUUCUGUCUGCAUUGAUCAGAUCCCCUAAGUGUUUGCUCAGAUUUCCAUUUGCUUUCAAGAUGCUGUUGGAUUUCUUUUUCUUAAGAGUUAAGGCUUUCACAUUUGAAACUUGAUUGUGAUAACUAGUUUAGUUUUAUCCAGCUUUAACUUCUUCAGAGAAACUCAAACUUCUAUGAAAUAUAUCUUAAGGACUAUCUUGUUUGUUUCUGAGUGUUUCAGAGCAUACAUUAGGGAUCCUGGCUUUUAGGCUUCAUUCAAGCCAAACAACCAUUAUCUUUAAUUGGAGCUGCUUCUAACUUGAAGCCAAAACAAUUGGUCGAGCCAGUG